UACGAAGGGGGCUAGCGUUGUUCGGAAUUACUGGGCGUAAAGCGCGCGCAGGCGGUCUUCCAAGUCAGUGGUGAAAGCCCGGAGCUCAACUCCGGAAUUGCCAUUGAAACUGUAAGACUUGAGGACGAGAGAGGUGAGUGGAAUUCCCAGUGUAGAGGUGAAAUUCGUAGAUAUUGGGAAGAACACCAGUGGCGAAGGCGGCUCACUGGCUCGUAUCUGACGCUCAGGCGCGACAGCGUGGGGAUCAAACAGG
rnacentral:rRNA from 1 species